rnacentral:lncRNA from 1 species
GUGGAUCUGGGAGGUUGGCGCCGCUGGCGGCGGGGCUUAAGCUCCGGUCGCCCAAGUCCAGCCCCACGACGCAGUGCCGACUCCCCGCCGUGCCCCCAGCCCGGCCCGGGUUGCGGAGCCCUGCUCCUGGGCCUCUGCCUGCUGCGUCCACCCUGGGGGAAGCGCCCGUCGUACCCUCCACACCGGGGGCUUCCCCUGACCCCUUAGGCCCUCCCCCUGCAGGUGCCCUCGCGCCCCUCCCGGGGUCCCCAGGAAAAAUUGAAGGCUCCGGAUGAGAAAAAGCAAACAAAGGACAGUGGGACCAUGGGCGUCCCCACCCCCACCACCCGCAGGCCCCACACUCAAACCAGCGCCCGUGCCCACGCCCAUGCAGCCGUCCUCCGCCAGGCCCCAAGAACGGCUGUUACUUUGGGGGCCGAGGCACAAGGGAGGCCCCAUUCAUCUUCCCUGGAGUCGGCAUCCCUUUGAUUGCGGGGCCACCUCUCAUCUGAACAUCUUCACCCCCCCCCAAUAUUCCUUCUGAACCCUCCAUCCUCCUUCUCCCCUUCUCUUGGGACCAUAAACCUACCCCAAGAGUGAGUCCUAGCUCCAGGGCCAGCUCCCAAUCCUGCCUCUGUCUGGUGGCAGCUGGGGCCAGGCUGAAGGUCUGUCCUAGACUGAGCCAUAAAGGCAAAAAUAAUACUUACUCCUAAUAGAAGUAAAGCACUUCACCCUAGAUGAGCCCUGGUCCUGGUCACACACAGAACCUAGACCUUUAUUUAGAGAUGGACCAUUAAUUUGUCAUGUGGGCUAGGCAUGGUGGCUCAAACCUGUAAUCCCACUUUGGGAGGCCCAAGCAGGAGGAUCACUUGAGGCCAUGAGUUCGAGACCAGCCUAGGCAACAUAACAAGACCACGUCUCUACAAAAAGAUUUAAAAAUUAACCAGGUUUGGUGGCAUGUGCCUGUAGUCCCAGCUACUGCAGUGAACCAAGAUUGUGCCACUGCACUCCAGCCUGGGCAACGGAGCAAGAUCCUGUCACAAAAAAAAAUUAUCACGUGGCCGAAGUUAUUUCCAGGCUCCGAGCGCCAGCUUCCUCAUCUUUCCAACAGAGGGCCUUCACCUGGGCUAAGUGUUAAAUCAGAAAGCCCCUAUUCAGAGGUUGGCCUGCAGUUCCCUGACCUGGUAACACUGGGGAGCAUUGGCUGCUGUCACCUGCCAGCUCCCACCCCCACCCAACACUUACACACCAAGCAUCACUAAUUUUUGCAGCUGCCAUGAUAAAUGGCACUGUUGGCAAAAUGACAUCUUUCUAAUCUGCCACAAGACAGACGGGUCCCCGAGCUCCCACAGCCUCCCAAGAGCCAGCCCAGGCCAUCCUUGUUGAGAGGAUGGGCAGAUGCAAAGCCCAGGGCCUGGGGGCGGGUGGGAUGGAGAGGAGACCUCAGGGCCCAGAAUCAAGGACAUCCCUAGUGGGGUUUACCACAGGCUCUUUUCUAAAUAUUUAGUUGUAUGUGUGCUUUUAAAAAUAUUCCAAAGAAUAUUAUAUGCUCUGUUCCUUUCUGACCAAAGUUAGGGCUUCAAUUCAAUUUUCUUUUCUUUUCUUUCUUUUUUUUAGACAGGGUCUUGCUGUAUCGCCCAAGCUGGAGUGCAGUGGCACAAUCACAGCUCACUGCAGCCUUGACCUCCUGGGCUCAAGCGAUCCCCCCACCUCAGCCACCUGAGUAGCUGGGUCUAUAGGCGCCAGCUACCAUGCCUGGCUAAUCUUUGUAUUUUAUUUUGUAGACACGGGGUCUCGCCAUGUUGUCCAGGCUGGUCUUGAACUCUUGACCUCAAAUGAUCUGCUUGCCUUGCUCUCCCAAAAUGCUGGGAUUUCAGGCUUGGGCCACUGCACCCAGCCUCAAUUUUCACUUUAAAUUAAAACCUGGAUAUUGUUCAGGUUUAUAAGGAUGAACCAUUAGACACUGGUUCUGAGGCGGUGCUCUCUUCCUGUCACCCUCUGCUCUGCGGAACAGUCUGCCUCUGCCUGAGCCAUUAGGUCUGGGGGCUUUCUCACCCCCCUCCUCCCUCCCACUCCCUCCAUGGCUCCCACCCUCCCACCCAGCCUCUUUGCUGACCUCAGCCGCAUCCCCUCCAUGCCUCACACUGGCCUGGGACUGCCAGGUUCCUGUGUCCAGGAGUAGAGGUGAAUUGGGGCUCUGGAUGCCAAGAACAGAGGAAGGACAAAUGCCAGCCCCAGAGACCCUCACCUCCUCAAGACCAACAGGAGCUGGCGCCUGUCCGCCCAGCAGCAGCAAAGCCAGAGCGGGUGCCAGCCAGGGUGGGUAGGCACAGGCCUGGGCUUGAAGAUUGAGACAGCGCUGCCCCCUCCUGGCUAAUUCACGGCUGCUCCUCUGACAGGCACUGCCAGGCUAAGCUGUUGAGGUUGGGGACAUAGUGAGUGACCCCAAAAACAGCAUGUGACAAGCUGACCUUCCCUGCAGUCUGCCCAGCUGGGAGCUGCCUCCCACUCUGCCCAUCCUGUCCGAGCUUCUCCCAAAGCAUCUUCCGGCCCUCACACCUUCAGGGCAAAGCCCGAGGCCCCUCCCGGCUGCCCACAAUGUGGCCCCGGGUAGCAGCCUCGCCCCCUGCACCCCAGGCCCCUGCUGCUCUGUGCCUCCCCAGUUCCCUGUCACUGCACCUGCAUGCUUUGCUCUCACCUUGACCUCCACCUUCGCCCUCCCCAGCAGUCUCCUCUUGUCCUCUUAGGUCCCUCCCCGAGGAAACUCCUCUCCCAACUCCCAACCAGAGGGACUCCGCUCCUCUGCCUGCACCCCGACCUGCCCUGCCCCUGUCUCGGGGACUGCACACUGUCAGCACAGUCCCACAGUUCUGGAACUUGGGAGAACCUAGACCUCUUCCAAGCCUACCCUGUGCACUGUCUAAAGGGCAAUCCUGAGCCCAGAGAGGGGCAGGAGCUGCACAAGGCCACACAGCCUGUAAUGGCAGUUAGGACUGGAAUGCAGCUCUCCCGAGUCUCUGCCUGGGGCUCCUUGGAGGACAGACACAUGGCUUCCCCACCUGGUGAACCAGAAUGGAACUCUUCAAGGACAGGGACUGUAUCAUUCCUUCCAGUGUCCCCAGCCCCUCACCCAGAGCAGGACCCACAGGAAGCAACUGUGAACAGAAAAGGAAAAAACAAAUACAUGAAAAUGUAUCUCUAAUGUCUUCUGUGUGCCGGACACUCAGCAGGUACCGGCUCUGCUACUAGAAAUCUUGG